rnacentral:sRNA from 1 species
ACAACAAGAACAAAAAAGCAGAACCCACAACAAAAACAACACGUAGCGACUCCAACACAAUAAAAAUAAGCACGUGGAGGCGUAGCAAACUGAUUCUUUUGGAGAGGAAUUGCCCGACAGGUUUCCUGUCGACCGGGCCGAGAACGACAAAACUGCCAUGAGGCAGCGCCAGAACCGGUUGAGCCCGCGAGGGCAGUGGCAAAUCAGCGACCAAAAAAAUCCGUUUGUUCUUAAUGUCCCGAACAUGGGACUGCGUCGGGCCUUGGCUCGAACCGGGCGCUCAACAAAAACAACAAGCCCGUCAGCAGAAGAAGAACAAAGCAAUAACUCUUGAAGGGGAGCCGUCAGGCUCCCCUUUUUAUUUGCGCCUUCGCCAGUACGGCUGCU